rnacentral:rRNA from 1 species
AGAGUUUGAUCCUGGCUCAGAGCGAACGCUGGCGGCAGGCUUAACACAUGCAAGUCGAACGGCGUCCUUCGGGGGCAGUGGCAGACGGGUGAGUAACGCGUGGGAACGUGCCCAUCGGUUCGGAAUAACCCAGGGAAACUUGGGCUAAUACCGGAUACGUGCGAGAGCAGAAAGAUUUAUCGCCGAUGGAUCGGCCCGCGUCUGAUUAGCUAGUUGGUGGGGUAAAGGCCCACCAAGGCGACGAUCAGUAGCUGGUCUGAGAGGAUGAUCAGCCACACUGGGACUGAGACACGGCCCAGACUCCUACGGGAGGCAGCAGUGGGGAAUAUUGGACAAUGGGCGCAAGCCUGAUCCAGCCAUGCCGCGUGAGUGAUGAAGGCCCUAGGGUUGUAAAGCUCUUUCACCCACGACGAUAAUGACGGUAGUGGGAGAAGAAGCCCCGGCUAACUUCGUG